rfam:Cavia porcellus supercont2_5 genomic scaffold, whole genome shotgun sequence.
GUGGAUAUAGCUCAGUGGCACAGUGCCUGCCUGGCAAGCAUGAGGUUCUGAGUUCGAUUCCUGGUUAUCCCCC